rnacentral:sRNA from 2 species
UAUUCUGCCCCACGGGGAAGGAUGAGAAGCUUCGACUAAGGUUCGACUCGAGCGUAGCGAGAGAACGUUGCCGAAGGCAACGGCCCGAAGGGCGAGGCGCUUUAGCGCCGAGUUAUCCUUCCCCCACCGCUG